UUAUGUGUGCCCCAGGAUGGCAGGACUAGAUCCCAGGCUCACAACUGUGGAGGUACAAAAGAUUUUUUUCAGUGCUGCUUGGGGACGUGAGACCACAGGAAAUGUUUAUUGGAAGCCGCAAAGAGAUUUAAUUACAGUAGUGAGGAAUUCAACCGGUCCUGGCCUGUUUAUUUCUAGUUGCAAAGGCAAUGAACAUUAUUUUUGUCGUGGCUUUAGUUGUGCCUCAAUUGUGUUGUCUGGGUCCUUGACAGGAGUGGGAUCUUGUGUAAGGUUUUUUGGUUUGGUUUGGUUUGGUUUGGUUUGGUUUGGUUUGGUUUGGUUUUUUGUAACCCUAUUGUAGUGAACGUCACUGAGUCUGACAAAAAGGUUAGAGAAGACUGGCUUAAAGGAAGGACUUGGGGAUUUAGACUAUAAAAAACUGGUUAUGAUGAAGGAUUACUCUUUACCAUUAAGCUUAAAAUUGCACCUAUGUCUUUUUCAGUAGGACCUAAAAAGAUCAUAAAGAAGGCCAAAAAAGAGGAACAACCGAGAUAAAGAGAAGAAUAAUGCUAAUAGGAAUAGGAGUAAUACUGCUUUCUUACUUUCUUCUCCAGUGUCUGGUAUCCCUCAUAGCCCUACAGUUGCCACCACUACCUUUUCUACAUUUGCUACUCACCUAACAGAAUUAAUGGUAGGCAUGUUUCAUAUGCAUAAUGAUACUUAUCCUAAUAUCACUCACUCUUGUUGGCUUUGCUAUGAUAUAGCUCCUCCUUACUAUGAAGGUAUUGCUUUAUUAUCCAGCAAUGUUUCUUAUUCUAAUAGCUCUUGUGGUUUUUGAUGGAAUCAGAAAUCUGGCAUAGGUCUUUCUCUACAUGAAGUUUCUGGACUAGGUACCUGCAUAGUGAAAAAUUCAUAAAGGUAAAAGACAGAGUUUAUGUAAUAAAAUGCUUACUGUUUCCACCUCUUCAUCUUAGUUUAUUCCUCCAAAAGAGGGAUAGUGAGUUUGUUCCAUAGGUCUUACCCCCUGCAUUCAUACACAAGUAUUUGAUAACUCCAAAGAUUUUUGUGUGUUGGUUCAACUUAUUCCUAGACUCAUUUAUCAUCCUUAUGAUGAGCUCUUGGAUCAUUGGGAUGGAGACUUCUCUUGAUACAAGAGAGAACUUGCUAUUGCAUUAACUAUUUCAGUUCUGAUGGGGCUCAGUAUGGGAGGAGCAGCUACAGGCACUUCUGCCUU
rnacentral:lncRNA from 1 species